UUGGCAGUCAUUGCGCAGGCACUUGGUGACUCUAGAUAACCUCGAACUGAUCGCAUGCCCCCGUGAUGGUGACGACGCAUUCGGAUGUCUGCCCUAUCAAUUUACAAUGGUACUUUCUGCGCCCACCAUGGUGGUAAUGGGGAAUCAGGGUUCGAUUCCGGAGAGGAAGCCUGAGAAACAGCUACCACAUCCAAGGAAGGCAGCAGGCGCACAAAUUACCCACUCCUGACGCCGGAGGUAGUGACAAA